AUUGAACGCUGGCGGAAUGCUUUACACAUGCAAGUCGAACGGCAGCACGGGUGCUUGCACCUGGUGGCGAGUGGCGAACGGGUGAGUAAUACAUCGGAACGUACCCGGUUGUGGGGGAUAACUAACCGAAAGGUUAGCUAAUACCGCAUACGACCUGAGGGUGAAAGCGGGGGACCGUAAGGCCUCGCGCAAUUGGAGCGGCCGAUGUCUGAUUAGCUAGUUGGUAGGGUAAAGGCCUACCAAGGCGACGAUCAGUAGCUGGGCUGAGAGGAUGAUCAGCCAAACUGGAACUGAGACACGGUCCAGACUCCUACGGGAGGGAGCAGUGGGGAAUUUUGGACAAUGGGCGAAAGCCUGAUCCAGCCAUUCCGCGUGAGUGAAGAAGGCCUUCGGGUUGUAAAGCUCUUUCGGCAGGGAAGAAACGGCCUAGGUUAAUACCUUGGGCUAAUGACGGUACCUGAAGAAGAAGCACCGGCUAACUACGUGCCAGCAGCCGCCGUAA
rnacentral:rRNA from 1 species